GCUCUCGGGGGAAUGUCGCCCUCCACAGACACCAGCGCGAGGAAGGAGCCCCUCCAGUUGUAGCUUCUCUACCUGCUCAUUGAUCUGCCCAUCGCCGCCCCGUCGGUCCUCCCUCUGCACCCCAAGGACGUCCUCCUCAUCCACAUGGCUGACGUCAUCGUCCUCAUCGUCCUCAUCCUCCUUGUCCUCCCUCUUCUCCUCCUCACCCUGCACCUCCAUCCUCACCUGGCCCUUGACAUCUAGCACCCCUUCACCCUCUUCCUGGGGACCCAGCAGGUGGUAUGUGGCCGUGGAGCCCUCCGGGCUGUGGCUGUCCUUCCCAGGAGAGGAUGACGUAGACUCGUUGCUGACAGGGGAGAUGUCACUACUGCUGUGGUGGUUGACAGCCGCGGGGCUGGAGGGUGAUGAAGACUUCACUGGGAUCUGCCAGGAGGGGAUCUUCGGGGCCGAUGGGGAAGGAGGGAACUGUCUCCUAGCAGUGGACAAGGAAAAAGAAAAGCAGGUAGAGGUUGGUGAUAGCACCUGGCUCCAGUGCCACACAUUCCCUUGGUCCCUGAUCCCUGAACACUCAAGCGAUGGCAGCAGUUUCUCCAGGGUCACGAGGCAGGGCCCACUGGAGGCCCCAUCAGCCAAGCUAGUGUGUCUACCAGAAGUGCCCUGUGCUGCCCGAUACCCUAACGCAGCCUUGCCCACCCCAGGGCUGGACCUACCCACCUUGGCAACUGUUGGUCUGCCGAGGGGGGGGGUGGCCAACAUACUCUGGAGUUGCCCCACCCACAUUCAACAUUGUCCCUACUCCUCUCCUGUGGCCAGACGGGGACAAGGAGGCAAAAAAGACCAAGGCUGGGAACCCGGGAGCCCCUGGCUAAUGUGCCCAUAAUCUCAGCCAAGGGCAGCAGUGGGGAACGCUGGCUACUGGCUCAGAGUCAUUCAGACCUCUGAGCCCAAACUUUGACCAAGGAAAAGCCAGCUCUGCCGGGCCCUCAGCCAGCAGCCAGCCAGACUGAAGCCCAUUCCAGGACAGACCUGGGAAGUUGGGUCAACAUGGUCAUGGCUCAGAAGUGCAGCUCUAUGACAUGAAGUCCUGUUUCUGCAAAGGCCAAGAGGACAAGUCCUGUUCCUGCCUAGGGCUGUGCCACCUACCAGCACUGGUCACACAGUCAGCCUUCAACCCCAGAGCCCACCUGGUGGCACACGUACAUCCGGCCUGCACCACACACACACAAGCAGCUCAGUUUGUGGUUUCCUUGGUUUCAGGGUCACCAAAGACUUGUAAGGACAGACAAUCUGCAUGCCCUGCCUGACUGGCCACAUCUGUUGUGGAGACACCCCUCCCUCACCUUAGGAAGUGUGCUCCUGCAGCCUGGGCUCCUCAGAGCAUGCCGUACCCCAUCCUCGCUGCUCCCACAAAGCCCACCUGGCUGUGGAGGCCUUGCCUCACAGCUCCUAAGUCCCUGGCCAAGCAGACACUCAUGCUUCCAGGUAGAGCCCACUUGCAUGCACUCAGGCCGAGCAACAGUGUACUCCAGCUUUCUGGACAGAGGACUCCAGGACACUCUGCUUUCAGCUUUAAAGUCUGCUUGCUCUCAACCAGGUCAGCACUGCGAACACUGCGCUGCCAUUCCAGGGAGCGCCAGGAAGCUUCCGGGGAGGCAGAGCUGGUCUGCUGAUACGGCUCUCACGCCCUGUAGGCCUCAGUGUAAUGUUGUCUGAGACAAGGCUGCCUGGAAAGAGUGGCUACCUCCAGGUGCACUGUGACAGUAGGUGUCAUGUACCGGACAGUUCUCUGCCUGCAGGCCCUGUCUCUGCCCCACUGCUGACCUCUCAGACAAACAUUUUUUUUUCUUUUCCUUUUUUUAAUGCAAUACUAUGGAUGCUAUCUAUCCCCCUGGUAUGGGAGCGCUGGCUCCUUAGGAGGGGAGACAGGAGCGCCUAAGGUUCGCCUCAAGAUCUUCAUCUUCCAGCUCAGUGAGGGGUCCCGUCCCUUCUGGGAUUGUUGUGCCAGCCCACAAGACCCCGACACCACCAGGUUGACCUUCAAUAAGCAAGAGCUCUCAGCUUCCUUUCCUACCGAUUCAAAAGAAGUCCUUUCAAGGAGUUGAUUUCCGACUUGAGCUCAUUAAUAUUCUGGGACUCCAGGAUCCAGUUGGUUGAUGUGGUGGCCUAUAGGUCAGAAGACAGAUAACACAGGUCACAGUGGUGCCUGGUGCCAGCCUGUGUCUGGGGUCGGGGGAUUUAGAAGGGCCCUCGCUGGGGCAAUAGCUGCAAGCCACUCUGUGUACACUCUGCAUUGUCACGCCUGCCUGUGACAAAACCCUACAACAACAGUCCCCAGCCUCUGACUGGUGGUGGCGCUAAGAAGUCAUUCGGUGUUCUUUGGUGGCACUACAGCACCCAUGUGUAAAAUAACAAAGAAGCCCUUCUGUCUCCCAGUGACACUGACGGAACGGGAGAGUACAAGACCCACCUGCGGCAGUCUCUCCUGUUCCCUACCCCACUGAGGAUGCGCCAAGGCUCCACCACCAUGUGACCCGUCGAGGCCUGUGACUACUAUGUCCCUGAUUCCUAGGAGAGCAAUGGUUCAUGGGACAGAUGAGUUAGAGGACUCCAGACAGCUCUGCACAGGUGCCAGCAAGGGACAGAGCCUCCUCCUGCCUGGGACGGGUGCCUCUCUUGCCUGUCUUGAGGUUUAGACUCCCAGCUCCCACUUAGC
ensembl:antisense